rnacentral:rRNA from 1 species
UGGGGAAUAUUGCACAAUGGGCGCAAGCCUGAUGCAGCCAUGCCGCGUGUAUGAAGAAGGCCUUCGGGUUGUAAAGUACUUUCAGCGGGGAGGAAGGGAGUAAAGUUAAUACCUUUGCUCAUUGACGUUACCCGCAGAAGAAGCACCGGCUAACUCCGUGCCAGCAGCCGCGGUAAUACGGAGGGUGCAAGCGUUAAUCGGAAUUACUGGGCGUAAAGCGCACGCAGGCGGUUUGUUAAGUCAGAUGUGAAAUCCCCGGGCUCAACCUGGGAACUGAAUCUGAUACUGGCAAGCUUGAGUCUCGUAGAGGGGGGUAGAAUUCCAGGUGUAGCGGUGAAAUGCGUAGAGAUCUGGAGGAAUACCGGUGGCGAAGGCGGCCCCCUGGACAAAGACUGACGCUCAGGUGCGAAAGCGUGGGGAGCAAACAGG